rnacentral:rRNA from 1 species
AUGCUGAAUGAAUCGGAGGCUGUCUGUAGCCAGACCGGAUUAAGCCCUUUCUGUGUUUCCAAUAAACCGCCAAAGGGCGAUGAUCCGUUCUGGAAGAAAAAGCCACAAGAUAAACCGACAAAAACACAAGAUAAACCGGCCAAGCCACUUCGCCCGAAGACCAAGGUUGUUAAAAAACCCGCCAAGAAAAGGACCACUGUGUCUUCCGAGCCAAAUGCUGAUGACGAUGUGGCUAAUCCGGACUCAGAGGUAGAACUUGACUCUCUUGGUUCAUUUUUCAUACACCUCAUUGACGAUGACUCUUAUCAGGACGACGCUGAAGGCAGUCAAGCUGAUGAUGUAGAGACGCAGCAACACGGAGCUCGCCGCACGACCCGGCACAGCGGCCAGGUAGUUACCUCCGCCGGUUUACCGAACACUCCGGUUCAGAAACGUGGAUUAGAGGGCACUUCCCACUCAUCUUCUGGCGAGUCAUCAACCACAAAGCUUCCACCCCUCAAAACAGUUCCUGGCACCAAGCCUAGACCCAGCAAGAAGGCUCGGUUAAAUAAACCGGCUGAUGAUAACGUGGCUGUUGAACCGGAAAAGACUCUAGAUCCAGAAGAAACUGAUGCUGAUGCCAUGCUUGAUGAUCCGCCGCCUCAAGACCAUGACUUGUUUACUAAACAGGUAGAAAUUGACACCACAGGCCAUGCUGACAAACCGACCAGCCCGGUCUGA